UACGAAGGGGGCUAGCGUUGCUCGGAAUGACUGGGCGUAAAGGGCGCGUAGGCGGUUUAGACAGUCAGAUGUGAAAUUCCCGGGCUUAACCUGGGGGCUGCAUUUGAUACGUCUAGGCUUGAGUGAGGAAGAGGGUUGUGGAAUUCCCAGUGUAGAGGUGAAAUUCGUAGAUAUUGGGAAGAACACCGGUGGCGAAGGCGGCAUCCUGGACCAACACUGACACUGAGGAGCGAAAGCCAGGGGAGCAAACGGG
rnacentral:rRNA from 1 species